GAUGAACGCUGGCGGCGUGCCUAAUACAUGCAAGUCGAGCGAACGGACGAGAAGCUUGCUUUUCUGAUGUUAGCGGCGGACGGGUGAGUAACACGUGGAUAACCUACCUAUAAGACUGGGAUAACUUCGGGAAACCGGAGCUAAUACCGGAUAAUAUAUUGAACCGCAUGGUUCAAAAGUGAAAGACGGUCUUGCUGUCACUUAUAGAUGGAUCCGCGCUGCAUUAGCUAGUUGGUAAGGUAACGGCUUACCAAGGCAACGAUGCAUAGCCGACCUGAGAGGGUGAUCGGCCACACUGGAACUGAGACACGGUCCAGACUCCUACGGGAGGCAGCAGUAGGGAAUCUUCCGCAAUGGGCGAAAGCCUGACGGAGCAACGCCGCGUGAGUGAUGAAGGUCUUCGGAUCGUAAAACUCUGUUAUUAGGGAAGAACAUAUGUGUAAGUAACUGUGAACAUCUUGACGGUACCUAAUCAGAAAGCCACGGCUAACUACGUG
rnacentral:rRNA from 1 species